UACGUAGGUGGCGAGCGUUGUCCGGAUUUACUGGGUGUAAAGGGCGUGUAGGCGGGGAUGUAAGUCAGAUGUGAAAUCCCAUGGCUCAACUGUGGGGCUGCAUCUGAAACUAUGUCUCUUGAGUGCUGGAGAGGAAAGCGGAAUUCCUAGUGUAGCGGUGAAAUGCGUAGAUAUUAGGAGGAACACCAGUGGCGAAGGCGGCUUUCUGGACAGUAACUGACGCUGAGGCGCGAAAGCGUGGGGAGCAAACAGG
rnacentral:rRNA from 1 species